AAUCCGUAUGAAAAAGAAAGUGAGCCAGGGUCUAAAAUAGUUGACACACCUCUAAUGAUUGCUGCUAAGAAUGGUGUCAUAGAAAUGGUGGAGAGCUUCCUAAAAUUAUUUCCAUCUACGAUAG